GACGAACGCUGGCGGCGUGCUUAACACAUGCAAGUCGAACGGAAAGGCCCUGCUUUUGUGGGGUGCUCGAGUGGCGAACGGGUGAGUAACACGUGAGUAACCUGCCCUUGACUUUGGGAUAACUUCAGGAAACUGGGGCUAAUACCGGAUAGGAGCUCCUGCUGCAUGGUGGGGGUGGGAAAGUUUCGGCGGUUGGGGAUGGACUCGCGGCUUAUCAGCUUGUUGGUGGGGUAGUGGCUUACCAAGGCUUUGACGGGUAGCCGGCCUGAGAGGGUGACCGGCCACAUUGGGACAGAGAUACGGCCCAGACUCCUACGGGGGGCAGCAGUGGGGAAUAUUGCACAAUGGGCGGAAGCCUGAUGCAGCAACGCCGCGUGCGGGAUGACGGCCUUCGGGUUGUAAACCGCUUUCGCCUGUGACGAAGCGUGAGUAACGGUAAUGGGUAAAGAAGCACCGGCUAACUACGUG
rnacentral:rRNA from 1 species